rnacentral:rRNA from 1 species
AUCUCUGUAGAGUCUGCAUAUCAAUAAGCGGAGGAAAAGAAACUAACUAGGAUUCCCUCAGUAACGGCGAGUGAAGCGGGAAGAGCUCAAAUUUGAAAUCUUCAAGGUUUGACCUUGACGAAUUGUAGUUUAAUAGAAGUGUUUUCUGUUAGUGGAGUAGGCAAAAGUUCCUUGGAAUAGGACAUCAUAGAGGGUGAGAAUCCCGUAUUUGGUCAUUCCUCCUAGCGUUGUGAUACACUUUCAACGAGUCGGAUUGUUUGGGAAUGCAGUCCAAAAUGGGUGGUAAAUUUCAUCUAAAGCUAAAUAUUGGCGAGAGACCGAUAGCGAACAAGUACCGUGAGGGAAAGAUGAAAAGAACUUUGAAAAGAGAGUUAAACAGUACGUGAAAUUGUCAAAAGGGAAGCGUUUGACACCAGUGUUGUUUUUCCGAAAAUCAAUUAAAAAUUGAUUCAUGCCAGGUUGUAUUGACCUUAUCAGCUUGCAAUUUGGUUUUGGGUCUCUUUUUGAUGCACUUUUCGGUUAACAAGUCAACAUCAAUUUCCUUUGCUGUAAAAAGGUAAGAGGAAGGUGGCUUCAAUUUCGGUUGAAGUGUUUAUAGCCUUUUAUCUCUGCAGUCGGGGAGAUUGAGGUCUGCAGCGUAGAUCCUUCGGGGCUAGAUACAUUUAUGCUAAGUUAUAGCUUUUCAUAGACAACUUGUUGACUAUGUUUAGUCAUGUAGCUUACUCGUAAGUGCUAUUUUACCUACGCUUAGGAUGUUGAAGACUCUACAGAGAUA